rnacentral:rRNA from 1 species
CCCUUAGAUGUUCUGGGCCGCACGCGCGCUACACUGAUACGUUCAACAAGUUCCUUGGCCGAAAGGUCUGGGUAAUCUUUGAAACCGUAUCGUGAUGGGGAUAGAACAUUGCAAUUAUUAAUCUUCAACGAGGAAUGCCUAGUAAGCGCAAGUCAUCAGCUUGCGUUGAUUACGUCCCUGCCCUUUGUACACACCGCCCGUCGCUCCUACCGAUUGAAUGGUCCGGUGAAGCGUUCGGACCGUGGCCUUUGGACGGUUCGCCGUCUGUUGGCUGCGGGAAGUUCGUUAAACCUUAUCAUUUAGAGGAAGGAGAAGUCGUAACA